rnacentral:rRNA from 1 species
AGCAGCCGCGGUAAUUCCAGCUCCAAUAGCGUAUAUUAAAGUUGUUGCAGUUAAAAAGCUCGUAGUUGAAUUUCGGGGUCAGUAGGUUGGUCAUGCCACUGGUAUGUACUGGUCUCACUGAUUCCUCCUUCCUGAUGAACUGUAAUGCCAUUAAUUUGGUGUUGCAGGGAAUCUGGACUGUUACUUUGAAAAAUUAGAGUGUUUAAAGCAGGCUAACGCCUGAAUACAUUAGCAUGGAAUAAUGAAAUAGGACGUUCGAUCCUAUUUUGUUGGUUUCUAGGAUUGACGUAAUGAUUAAUAGGGAUAGUUGGGGGCAUUAGUAUUCAAUUGUCAGAGGUGAAAUUCUUGGAUUUAUUGAAGACUAACUACUGCGAAAGCAUUUGCCAAGGAUGUUUUCAUUAAUCAAGAACGAAAGUUAGGGGAUCGAAGACGAUCAGAUACCGUCGUAGUCUUAACCAUAAACUAUGCCGACUAGGGAUCGGAUGAUGUUAAUUUUUAAUGA